CAAUUUCAUUCAUAAGUGACAACUACACUUAUCCAAUUCAUGACAAAUGUUCAUUACAUGGGGGAAAAUACAAUUUUUUUUUUGAAAGUUUAACCACAUGUUGACUUUGGUCAACAGUUAACUUUUUGACCAACUUUGAACAAAGUCAACACAAACCCAAAACCCUAAAUUCGCAUCCUAAGCCCUUUGCCCAUUGUCAAAGUAUCCAUAUUAGGCUUUGGCGUACCAUUCGGGCAUGAGGUUUCACAAUUCAAAUUUUAGCCAGUUUACCUUGUCCAAAUGCAUGUGCACGUGAUAGAUAACUAUGGUGGACCUCUUUCUAACCCCAAAUAAAUCAAAGCAAGGAACCAUGCCUGAAAUUUACAAAGGAAUGGGGUUUAUCCCCAUUGGUGUCAUGGAUAUAUCUAUUGAUGGGAAUCCUGUUUCCUCCAAGAAUAGUCACAACAGUAGGGAUUAUCCUGCAGCUGUUGCGGCCAAAACGAGUCAUCCAGCUAAAAAUUCCCCAUUGAAGAAUUAUGCUUUGAGGCAACCCAUUCAAAAGAAGGCAUUAGGCAGGGAUGCUCAGAGCCUGCUGGAGUAUUUUAAGAAAGUGCAGGUCGAAAACCCUGGUUUCUUCUAUGCAAUUCAACUUGAUAAUCGCAUGUCUGGUGUGCUUUGGACAGAUGCCCGUUCCAGGACAGUUUAUAGUCAUCUUGGUGAUACAGUUCAUCUGGACAUCACAUGCAGAGCUAACCAGUAUAGAGUGCUAUUUGCUCCUUUUACUGGAGUAAACAAUCAUGGUCAGGUGGUUUUGUUCGGUUGUGCACUCCUCUUUUAUGAUUCAAAGGCUUCUUUUUGUGGCUCUUUAAGACAUUUCUCACAGCAAAGAGUGACUGAUAGCCUGUCUCGAUAAUUACCGACCAAGACAGAGUCGUACAGGAAGCAGUUUAACAAGUUUCGCCACGGGACUACCACUGCAAUUUAGGUCCAGAUGGUCGACGUAAAGAUGCUGAUGAAAAGUCUGAGCUAUGUAAAGGAACGAUUGAGUUUGUUGCUACUAAAUAAAUCAUGGUCCGUGAGCCAAUGCCCGUUGUGUAUUUCUUUCUUGAUGUAUCAUUUAAUGUAGUUCAAACUGGUGCAACUGCGACAACUUCCGGUAUCAUAAAUCCAAUUAUUGCAGGCCUUCCUGAAGGUCCUCGUACACAGGUGGGAAUUCCGAUGUUUGACUCAACUCAUUUUUACAACUUGAAGCGUGCGUCGCAGCAGCCACUGAUGCUCAUUGUUCCUGAUGUCCAAGAUGUUUAUACUCCUUUGCAAACUGAUGUAAUUGUUCCACUACUUGAGUGAAGUCAACAUUUAGAAUUACUUCUCGAAGGAAUUCCUACUAUGUUCCAAAGUAAUAGAACUUCUGAAUCAGCCUUUGGUGCAGCAAUCAAGGAAACUUUCCUUGCAAUGAAAUACACUGGAGGAAAGCUUAUGGUUUUCCAGUUAGUCUUGACAUCUAUUGGCAUUAGCACCCUUUCUGCACGCGAAAUCGAAGGGAGAACCAACAUCUCUGCAGGGGAAAAGGAAGCACAUAAAUUACUUCAACCAUCAGAUAUAACAUUGAAAGAAUUAGUAGUUGAACUUGCUGAGUAUUAGGUUUGUGUCGAUGUAUUUGUGACUACUCAGACUUACGUUGAUAUUGCUUCCACAUCGGCCAUCCCGCGAAUGACUGGUGGACAUGUAUAUUAUUAUCACCCAUUCUUAGCUCUUUCUAAUCCUGCAAAGCUUUACAAUGAUCUUAGAUGAAAUGUCACUAGACCACAAGGUUUUGAGGCUGUAAUGCGUGUGAGGUGCAGUCAGGGCAUCCAAGUACAAGAAUAUUAUGGCGACUUUUGCAGACGUAUCCCAACGGAUGUUGACUUACCUGGGAUUGAUUGUGACAAAACCUUCAUGGUGACUUUGAAACAUGAUGAUAAGUUACAGGAUGGAUCAGAAUGUGCCUUUCAGUAUGCAAAUGUGUAUGGCCAAAGGAGAAUGUGUCAUAACCUUAUCCCUGCCAGUCACAAGUAUGCUCAGUAAUCUAUUUCGGGCAGCUGACUUGGAUACUCGAUUUUGCUGUUUCUUAAAGCAAGUUGCUAGUGAGAUCCCUUCAAAGCCACUUCAUCUUGAUUAGGAGCAAGUGACAAACCUUUACACCAAUGCACUAUAUUCGUAUCUGGACAACUUAUUCUUCUGGAGGCCCUAAAAAACUUUUUGCUUAUGUACACACGUCCGUUAACUAAUAGUACAUGCUUGGGAACAGACAGAAGUAUAGAGGAACGAUCAUUUUGGAUAAAUUAUGUAUCCUUUCUAUCUGCUCCAUUAAUACUACUUGUGAUCCCAGGAUGGUGGCCUGUCAAACUCCAAGAUCAUUGCAAAGGAUUUGCUACUGCUGGCUUUGCUUGCAUAAUGUCUCGGUGUUCCCAAAUACUCACUGCCACGAAGAAACAGCGGGCAAUGAUAAACUAUGGAAGCAGAAGAUAAUGAUAAUGUCAGAAGGCUUAGGAUGUCUCAGCUACAGGAUGAUGUGAUUAACAUUAGCGAAAAUGGAGUUUCUAAGCGUUGCGACAA